GACGAACGCUGGCGGCGUGCUUAACACAUGCAAGUCGAACGGAAAGGCUUCUUUCGGGGGGUACUCGAGUGGCGAACGGGUGAGUAACACGUGAGUAACCUGCCCUUGACUUUGGGAUAACUUCAGGAAACUGGGGCUAAUACCGGAUAGGAGCUCCUGCUGCAUGGUGGGGGUUGGAAAGUUUCGGCGGUUGGGGAUGGACUCGCGGCUUAUCAGCUUGUUGGUGGGGUAGUGGCUUACCAAGGCUUUGACGGGUAGCCGGCCUGAGAGGGUGACCGGCCACAUUGGGACUGAGAUACGGCCCAGACUCCUACGGGAGGCAGCAGUGGGGAAUAUAGCACAAUGGGUGGAAGCCUGAUGCAGCAACGCCGUGUGCGGGAUGACGGCCUUCGGGUUGUAAACCGCUUUCGCUCAUGACGAAGCUUUGUGUGACGGUAGUGGGUAAAGAAGCACCGGCUAACUACGUG
rnacentral:rRNA from 1 species